AGUAUCCCAAUAUACUUGAUUAUUUGAUAUAUUUGGUCCUGAGUGUUCUUGUAGCCGAAGAUUUAUUUUCAUCGCCAACCCUGUGUUUGCUCCUCUCCCUCGUUUAAAGCCACUACUAAUUGUGUUAAAUAGGAGGAUGAAAGUGCAAGAAGAGAGUCUUGAUCUGGCCCUGGCUCCCUCUGACCCAGAGUCAGCGCUCUCAGACUCUGCUGUACGUGGAGGGCCUGGAGCCCAUGAACCUGGGGACUUGUCUUGCAAGUCUACAGUCAGACCAUCUGUACUUCACAAGGUCCCUUUCUCAAUGGCCCUGCCCUCCAUCAUUCUCCAACCACAGAAUUCCAUAACCAGUACUUCAUGCCUGGAGAAUGUAGAAGAGACAAAUGCCAAGAAUUGGAUUUUUCAGAUGAAAUCGCAACUUGAUAUGUGACCCUCUCACAUUUAAAUUUAUGGGAAUCCCAACUUGUCAAACACCUGUAAACACGCAUUGAACAAAGGAUGAACAAUUGAAGUCAAAUGAAAUUCUGUGGGAGAGAUACAAAGAGGGAAAGAGAGAGAAUGAGUGCAUCUGGAUUCAGAACAAAUUAAAGCAAGAGAUACGGAGGCAGAAUGAGGGAGCUAAACCAUCAACAUUCCUGCUGCUACCUCUGGAUGGGAGAACACGGCCCCCUCUCAACUCUGAAGCUUGGGAGUUCCCUGGGAGGGCAGGGCUGGGUCUGCAGAGCAUGCGCGCCUCCCCUGCCUACAGCUGGGGCAUCAGGACUUCAGGCCAGUCCUGCUGCUGUGGAGGGACCUGCACAGAGAGCAGCAUUUGGGGUAUGGGACUCCCUUUAGAAUGUGGACCUAAUCCCUGGCCAAGGGGAGUGAGUAAGAGCCAGGCAAGAAGCUUCUGUUGAUCUGCAGGCAGAAGGAGUCUUACAAAAACGGAAUGCGGGUGGAGCUGAGCGCAGUGUUCUUAGGUCCUGAUCCCAGUCAAUCACCUUCACUCAGGAAGAAUGGUGAAAGAUAGAGAGAAGGGUGGGACAUUGUCCUCUACUCUUUCCUCUCCUGGAGAGUGUGGAGAAACUCUCCGCUUUGCCUCUCCUUCUCUAUGGAAAUAUGAGGGCCUUAUAAGCAUUUUUCUCUAAAAAUGCUCAUGGUUGCAGCAAGCAGACAUUCCAGAAACAAAUUUCUGGUGCAGAAAUCAUAUGUAUAAAAGCUUGAUGUGAGAAAAUGUGGGAUGUGUAUGUGCAAGGGGGUGCUCCUUGGUGCUUGAAGCUUGGGGUGCUUGUAAGGAAGUGGGGGAGAAUAAGGCAAGAAAGAUAUUGCCAGAUUCCGGGAGCCUCGAAUUCCAGGCCAGGGAGUUUGACUUUGAUCCUUAGGCACUGCAAAUCCACGCAUCUUAUUGGAAACAUCACUCUAAGCAUCUGUCCCCACCGAGCAGGGAGCUGUGCUGGGUUCCAUCAGACACAGCUGGCCUUAGCCACCCCUCCAUGUUACUUGCUUGUGAGCAAUGCUAGGUGUAUUCCUCUAGGUUUCAGGAUGAGAUCACAUUGCUUGUUUACCUAAAACAGACUGUAGGAAAUCUGCAACCAAAUAUCCUUGAGGUAAAUACAGAAACAACAGAAAAGCAAACAGCAGACGACUGAGAAUGGGAUCCCCUGAUGGAGUUUGGAGGAGGCAGAACACAGAGAGCAGCCUCUGGAGUGCCCAAGCCCCACAGCUCAUCACCCCGCAUCCAUUCUAAGGAUGGGGCAGAGCUGCAGGACAACACUGAGUGAGGGACAGAGACAAGAGACAAACGUGAGCUUUGGACUCACUAACUCAAGUCAGAAACAAUAUUAGGGAAAAAUAAAGGUUGACUCCAUAAAUAGAAGAAUUUAGUUCAGUUAUAGAGAGAACCAUGCCAACAGUUCAAGCAAUUUAAAGGAUGUAAUGAACCAGUGUGAGGACUAGUCCCCCAGUUUCUCCCCAAAAUUGGUAAUAUUAACUCCUUAUACUCAUUCAGCGCAUUGCAAUUUGCAAGCCCUUUCACAUGAUGUUAUCUCUUGGGUCUUCACAAACAGCCUGGGAUCUAAGGAGGGCUAGGGAAGAAGGAGCCCCAUUUGAGGAAACUGAAGCCCAGUUCCAUGACCAGGUCUAGAACCAGGCCAGCUUUCCCUCUGGCUCCACUGUAAUGCCAUAGUUGUGUUGGUGGGGGCUUUCCUUGAGAAAGAUGAUGGAGGCAUUGAUCAAUAGUUUAUCAGUCUGUCCUCCAUAUAGAGGUCUGCAAUAGACAAUGUUACCAUGAGGCUUCAUUCUAUAUGGUACCAUCCAUCCAUACUAUUUCCAAAGUGACUAGGUCUACUUAAUCUAAAGUGGGUAAGUAGAAUGAUAAAUAGAACUGUAUUUACAAGCAAAGAUAGAUAUUGAAAUUAAAACUGGG
ensembl:lncRNA